GUAAGUGUCAUUCUAUGAUUUGACAUAUUCGACUGUUUCCUGCAGAACUUUAAAAACGCAGUAAUUUCCAAUACAAAACUAUUGAUAAUUAGUUUCCUAUUUGAUAUAUUUUUGUUGAAAGUGCACGGGACAAACAUUACGUGAAAAAAAUUGGACGGUUUCAUAAUUGAUGUAGUUAAACUCUGGUUUUCUCUUAUAGGUUAUCUGUUAAAUAGUUAACUGUUGUGAAAUCCACUAAUAUGGCAGAGGGCGAAUAUGUGCCGGGGGUUGUUUAUGACAUGCCCACCCAGAAUUAUGUUUCUUUUAAUUUCGAGAAAUCAGCACUUGAAUUGGGACGGAUAGUUUGGCCGAAUUAUGAUGAUCAACAUUAUUUGAAAGGGUGCUAUUGGUCACCGGAUGGCACCUGCCUUCUGACAGUGGUGAGGGGCGCUGGGAUGCAUAUUUGUGAAUUACCAAAUGACUUAUAUACCGCGGAUGUGAUGUUGACUAGUAGACCGAUAACACCUUUAACUCCAGCGGUUAGUGUUCCGGAACAAGGCUUAAUAUAUGAUGUAUGCUGGUACCCUGGGAUGAACAGUUCUUCACCUGCAACGUGUUGCUGGCUAUCGAGUGGACAUGAAGGACCUGUACAUCUUUGGGAUGCCUUCACAGGAACAUUGAGAUGUUCUUAUAGGGGUUACAAUUCAGUUGACGAAAUAGAUCCUGCAUUAAGUGUUUGUUUUUCUGCAGAUGGACAAAGUAUUUUUUGUGGUUCCAAAAAAUCAGUUAAAAUAUUCCCAACAAGUCGACCCGGAAGGGAGUAUCUGGCUUACGAUGUUACUCAUCCGGCUUCUUGUAUAGUAGCUAGUGAAGCACAGCCAGGAGUUGUAGCCAUAGGUUCUUGGAAGAACACUAUAGAAUUAGUUUCUCAAAGUGACGGCACAUUCAGACACCUAUGCAAACUGCAGGGUCAUAAAGGUGGUAUUACCACAAUGGCUUUCUCAUUAGAUGGCUACAAAUUGUUCAGUGGGGCCAGAAAGGAUAAAGAAAUAAUUUGUUGGGACUUGAGGGUACCUGGUCGUCCCCUCUUUUGUGUGGGUAGGGAAGUAAAUACGAAUCAAAAAAUUGCCCUUGAUAUAUCUAGAUGCGGCAGAUACUUGGUAUCUGGAGGCACUGAUGGUAAAGUUUUAGCAUGGGACAUAUCACAAAAUGUUACUCCACAGGAAAAUUAUCAGGUUUGUGGUGAAUUUUUAUUUAUGAUUAUUUUUUCGUGUUUAGUUACGUUUGGAAGAUUCUACCAGCACCAGAAACUGGGAAAUUUCUAUAUUAGAUCACAGGAACAACGAUAUGAUGUUGCAACGAUGGAGAUUUAAUUUUUUUCAUAAUUUUAUCCUGAAGAAGUCUUAAAAAAUUUUUGUGAUGCUUAAUGGUUGAAUGAAAGGAGGCCACUCGGAAUAGUUUUCUUAAUUUUUUUAACAUUAUUCUCUUGGUGGUGUUCUUAGAUUUGACAUGAAACAUGAGGUUAAAAUCACUAAAUAUUUGUUAUCAAGAAAUCUUUUCUAUAUCUGCAUGUUGCUGUGCUAACCUUCAUUCAUUUAACUUUGAGUAAGAUUUUAUCAUCAAAUAUACAUUUGUUAUCGUAGAUAUUCUAUUGUUGUGGGAUUUGUUACUUUUCCAUGAAAGUACCGUUUUUUUCACAACGUUCUAGGUUUUAAUGCACUUACAGUUACCAACAAAUUUAAAAGGUGUAACAUGAGACCACCACAACUAUACAUCCCUUAGAGAGCAACUGAAUAUAAACAAUUAAUAAUAAUUACAAUAGUGGAUCCUCUACCAUCUGGGUGUCUGUUAAAAUAUCAUAAGAAUUCGGUGUUACAAUCAUCCGAAUUAUCCAACUGUAGCUUUCCUUUGAAAUGUGGGACGACUCUUGAUUAUUUAGCCACUUCAUUUUUAUUUAAAAAAGACGUUACUUGUCGAAAUAUGAUAGG